GGCUCAGAACGAACGCUGGCGGCAUGCCUAACACAUGCAAGUCGAACGAGAUCCUUCGGGGUUUAGUGGCGCACGGGUGCGUAACGCGUGGGAAUCUGCCCUUUGGUUCGGAAUAACAGCUGGAAACGGCUGCUAAUACCGGAUGAUGACGAAAGUCCAAAGAUUUAUCGCCAGAGGAUGAGCCCGCGUUGGAUUAGGUAGUUGGUGGGGUAAAGGCCUACCAAGCCGACGAUCCAUAGCUGGUCUGAGAGGAUGAUCAGCCACACUGGGACUGAGACACGGCCCAGACUCCUACGGGAGGCAGCAGUGGGGAAUAUUGGACAAUGGGCGAAAGCCUGAUCCAGCAAUGCCGCGUGAGUGAUGAAGGCCCUAGGGUUGUAAAGCUCUUUUACCCGGGAAGAUAA
rnacentral:rRNA from 1 species